rnacentral:rRNA from 1 species
UGGUGGAGUGAUUUGUCUGGUUAAUUCCGUUAACGAACGAGACCUCAGCCUACUAACUAGUUGCACAAACAUUUUGUUUGUCGCAGCUUCUUAGAGGGACGUUCGGUUUCUAGCCGAAGGAAGUUUGAGGCAAUAACA